GCCAGGCGUGGUGGCUCACGCCUGUAAUCCCACCACUUUGGGAGGCAGAGGUGGAAGGAUCACUUGAGCCCAGGAAUUCAAGACCAGCCUGGGCAAUAUAGUGAGACCCCAUCUCUA
ensembl:misc_RNA Metazoa_SRP Metazoan signal recognition particle RNA